rnacentral:rRNA from 1 species
GAUGAACGCUGGCGGCGUGCCUAAUACAUGCAAGUCGAGCGAACAGACGAGGAGCUUGCUCCUCUGACGUUAGCGGCGGACGGGUGAGUAACACGUGGAUAACCUACCUAUAAGACUGGGAUAACUUCGGGAAACCGGAGCUAAUACCGGAUAAUAUAUCGAACCGCAUGGCUCAAUAGUGAAAGACGGUUUUGCUGUCACUUAUAGAUGGAUCCGCGCCGCAUUAGCUAGUUGGUAAGGUAACGGCUUACCAAGGCAACGAUGCGUAGCCGACCUGAGAGGGUGAUCGGCCACACUGGAACUGAGACACGGUCCAGACUCCUACGGGAGGCAGCAGUAGGGAAUCUUCCGCAAUGGGCGAAAGCCUGACGGAGCAACGCCGCGUGAGUGAUGAAGGUCUUCGGAUCGUAAAACUCUGUUAUUAGGGAAGAACAAAUGUGUAAGUAACUAUGCACGUCUUGACGGUACCUAAUCAGAAAGCCACGGCUAACUACGUG